rnacentral:rRNA from 1 species
AGUGAACGCUGGCGGUAGGCCUAACACAUGCAAGUCGAACGGCAGCACAGUAAGAUCUUGCUCUUACGGGUGGCGAGUGGCGGACGGGUGAGGAAUACAUCGUAAUCUAGUUUUUCGUGGGGGAUAACGUAGGGAAACUUACUCUAAUACCGCAUACGACCUACGGGUGAAAGCAGGGGAUCUUCGGACCUUUCGCGAUUGAAUGAGCCGCUGUCGGAUUAGCUAGUUGGCGGGGUAACGGCCCACCAAGGCGACGAUCCGUAGCUGGUCUGUGAGGAUGAUCAGCCACACUGGAGCUGAGACACGGACCAGACUCCUACGGGACGCAGCAGUGGGGAAUAUUGGACAAUGGGCGCAAGCCUGAUCCAGCCAUACCGCGUGGGUGACGAAGGCCUUCGGGUUGUAAAGCCCUUUUGUUGGGAAAGAAAAGCAGCAGGUUAAUACGCCGCUGUUCUGACGGUACCCAAAGAAUAAGCACCGGCUAACUUCGUG